UGCAGUCGAGCGCCCCGCAGGGGGAGCGGCAGACGGGUGAGUAACGCGUGGGAAUCUACCCAUCACUACGGAACAACUCCGGGAAACUGGAGCUAAUACCGUAUACGUCCUUCGGGAGAAAGAUUUAUCGGUGAUGGAUGAGCCCGCGUUGGAUUAGCUAGUUGGUGGGGUAAUGGCCUACCAAGGCGACGAUCCAUAGCUGGUCUGAGAGGAUGAUCAGCCACACUGGGACUGAGACACGGCCCAGACUCCUACGGGAGGCAGCAGUGGGGAAUAUUGGACAAUGGGCGCAAGCCUGAUCCAGCCAUGCCGCGUGAGUGAUGAAGGCCCUAGGGUUGUAAAGCUCUUUCAACGGUGAAGAUAAUGACGGUAACCGUAAAAAAAGCCCCGGCUAACUUCGUGCCAGC
rnacentral:rRNA from 1 species